AUCGGCGAAUAUUGCCCAGAAUGCACUGCGUUCAUACCAGAAUGCAUUGCGUGUGACCCACAAUACACUGCGCUUGAAUUAUUCGAAGAUGGCGGACGGUUGCGCGAGAAAGAGGACUUAAAAAUGGACUGACGAGGAUAAGGAAAAUCUGAUCCAUCUGUGGAUGGAGAAAGAUAGCCUGUUUGUUAUCAGGCAAGCUCGUGCCGGAUGGGAAGUCAUGUGUGUCACAGUUGGAGCUGAAAGGAAAGCAGAGAUUUGUCUUCGCAGACGAACGCCACUUUACCCGUCCUACUGGUUCCUGCUGUGGCUCAACAUCUGUGGCUCCCAGCAGUCCCCUUCGCUGAUGCGCAGAUUGUGCAGAACUGAACUGCAGGCAAUGAUUUUCAUUGCAAAGAGCAUGCCUUGGCGUGGUGCUGGUUGGAACGGGCCUGAACCACAUUCCUCAUGGGUUCAAUUUAGGGUGUCAGCAGCGUGAUGGGAUGAGCAAUGCAGGGAUACCCACCAUCACCCAAAAAGAUUCC